rnacentral:rRNA from 1 species
UCUAACGCUGGCGGCGUGCUUAACACAUGCAAGUCGAGCGGUAAGGCCCUUCGGGGUACACGAGCGGCGAACGGGUGAGUAACACGUGGGUGAUCUGCCUCGCACUUCGGGAUAAGCCUGGGAAACUGGGUCUAAUACCGGAUAUGACCUGGGGAUGCAUGUUCCUUGGUGGAAAGAUUUAUCGGUGCGAGAUGGGCCCGCGGCCUAUCAGCUUGUUGGUGGGGUAAUGGCCUACCAAGGCGACGACGGGUAGCCGACCUGAGAGGGUGACCGGCCACACUGGGACUGAGACACGGCCCAGACUCCUACGGGAGGCAGCAGUGGGGAAUAUUGCACAAUGGGCGGAAGCCUGAUGCAGCGACGCCGCGUGAGGGAUGACGGCCUUCGGGUUGUAAACCUCUUUCGACAGGGACGAAGCGCAAGUGACGGUACCUGUAGAAGAAGCACCGGCCAACUACGUGCCAGCAGCCGCGGUAAUACGUAGGGUGCGAGCGUUGUCCGGAAUUACUGGGCGUAAAGAGCUUGUAGGCGGUUUGUCGCGUCUUCUGUGAAAACUUGGGGCUCAACCUUAAGCUUGCAGGGGAUACGGGCAGACUAGAGUACUUCAGGGGAGACUGGAAUUCCUGGUGUAGCGGUGAAAUGCGCAGAUAUCAGGAGGAACACCGGUGGCGAAGGCGGGUCUCUGGGAAGUAACUGACGCUGAGAAGCGAAAGCGUGGGUAGCGAACAGGAUUAGAUACCCUGGUAGUCCACGCCGUAAACGGUGGGUACUAGGUGUGGGUUUCCUUCCACGGGAUCCGUGCCGUAGCUAACGCAUUAAGUACCCCGCCUGGGGAGUACGGCCGCAAGGCA